rnacentral:rRNA from 1 species
UACGAAGGGGGCUAGCGUUGUUCGGAAUUACUGGGCGUAAAGCGCACGUAGGCGGAUAUUUAAGUCAGGGGUGAAAUCCCGCAGCUCAACUGCGGAACUGCCUUUGAUACUGGGUAUCUUGAGUAUGGAAGAGGUUAGUGGAAUUGCGAGUGUAGAGGUGAAAUUCGUAGAUAUUCGCAGGAACACCAGUGGCGAAGGCGCUAACUGGUCCAUAACUGACGCUGAGGUGCGAAAGCGUGGGGAGCAAACAGGAUUAAGAAACCC